AUAGCGAUUGCAAAAAACUAAUCGUACAGCAGAUUCGUCGUACAAUGAGGUAAUCAAGCGAGGCAUCACUGUACGACAAAAUUACUGUACCAAAUUUAUUCAGACAUUAGGAGCACUAGUUGUGGUGUACUCAUUUUAAAGUUCUCAGCUUACGAUUUAGAGUAUAUAAAAUAACUUCAAAAAAGGAGAGAACCUUGAAUUUAUCUUACUGAAAAGCUGGUACUGUAUAUCUGCACCUUAUGAAACAAAGUAUCUCAGAAAUGCAACUGCAGCCAAAUAGCAGCAGGCACUGUUCUACUGGCUGAUCAGGAUUUCAUUAAAGUGCCUGUCAAACUGUAAUGAAUGUUUCCAAUAAAAUGCCAAAAAAAAAAA